CGCGCCUCCUCCCGCUCAGUCAGCAUCGCUCGGCCGUCUCGCCCGGACGCCGCGCCAGCCUCCCGAGCGCCGCGUCACGCAGGAUGAAAGAUAAAUAUUAAUGAAUAAAUAAAAAGAAAGAAAGAAAGAAAGAAAAAAAACAGUAUCAAUCUGUGGAACCUUAAGUGCGUGUCUACGAAAAAAAAGAACAACAAAGAAAAUAAUAAUCAGUACGAAAGAGAGAAAUAAAGAAAAAAAAAGAAAACAAAUAUAGGAAAAAUGACACCAAGUAACUAAGAAAGAAAAAAAAAAAUCCCUUUACCCUCAUAUAAGUGUUUGAAAAAAAAGUAAAAAAAAAAGUGUUGUGUCACGAGAUUGGGGAAAUCGCCGACUCAAGAUGAAUGGGCGUGGUUUGUGGGCGUGGUGGGCGGCUUGCUUCGUGGUCUUCCUCGCCCAGCCGCCCCUUACGAGUCAGCUGCCGGAUGUUAUCAAAAUAGGUAAGGACACAAAACCACUAAUCUGAAGACGUGGCAACGCUGGAAUCCGUAUUCUAAGUCCUGCGUUAAGUCCGUCUUAAGUAAGUACAUGUCCAGCGAGC